rnacentral:rRNA from 1 species
UGGAUGUUUGAUCUUGGCUCAGAUUGAUAUCGCUGGCGGCAUGCCUUACACAUGCAAGUCGGAACGGCAGCACGGGGGCAACCCUGGUGGCGAGUGGCGAACGGGUGAGUAAUACAUCGGAACGUGUCCUGUAGUGGGGGAUAGCCCGGCGAAAGCCGGAUUAAUACCGCAUACGAUCUACGGAAGUAAGCGGGGGAUCGCAAGACCUCGCGCUAUAGGGGCGGCCGAUGGCAGAUUAGCUAGUUGGUGGGGUAAAGGCCUACCAAGGCGACGAUCUGUAGCUGGUCUGAGAGUGACGACCAGCCACACUGGGACUGAGACACGGCCCAGACUCCUACGGGAGGCCAGCAGUGGGCAAUUCUUGGACAAUGGGGGAAACCCUGAUCCAGCUAUGCCGCGUGUGUGAAGUAGGCCUUCGGGUUGUAAAGCACUUUUGUCCGGAAAGAAAACUUCUGCCCUAAUACGGUGGGAGGAUGACGGUACCGGAAGAAUAGCACCGGCAUACAU